rnacentral:tRNA from 1 species
GUAGACGUUAGCUCAGUGGUUAGAGCACGGGCCUCUCUCGGGUCUGCGAGUUCGAGUCCCGUUGUCUACU